rnacentral:tRNA from 1 species
GCCUGGGUGGCUCAGUGGUUGAGCGUCUGCCUUCAGUUCAGGCCAUGAUCCUGGGGUCCAGGAUCAAGUCCUGCAUCGGGCU